GACAAUCAGAGUUGUUACAUGUUGAAACAUCACGGAGGGACACUGCUAGUAAAAAUCAUGAUGAUACUGAGUGGUGAAAGAUUAGCCAAAGAUAAGGCUUGCAACUGGGAGUGACAAAUAUUGUCUACCUCUGAACACUGGCGAGGUCAGGGACAUUCCCGCCUGCUUCAUAGUCAAGGGUAAAUUUUCUGUAAAUCUGCCCAGCCUCUUGGGUCAUGACUCGUCUCAGUGGCACAGAUUUGAUCUUGUUUUCUUCCCUAGGAUGCCUUCUCCCCCAGUGUGGUGGGAGGCAGAGGCAGGUGCAGGCAGGUCACUGUGAGUUCCAGGCCAGCCAGGGUUCCAUGAGGAGACCCUGUCUCAAAACCAAGCCAGGAUGCCUUCCCUAUUGUCUAACUUGGACCUGCCUUUCAAGACUUAGUGGCUUCAGUCUUACAGUACACACACACACUUUUAUUAAAUUCAUUUAUCAAAAACAAAGUUCAGAAUACAGAGAUCCACUUUUUGAAAGGAAGCCCGUCACCUGGACUUGAGAGUCUGAACACUACUGACUUUUCUUGUCUUGUUCUCACUCUUGCCCCGACCUGGUGAAAAGCCCCCUUGCCCUUAGUUUUGCAGCGUCAGAAAAAGCAAUUCAGUAUCCCAGUGAGUCCUGGUUUUUGUGUUUAGCAAGUUGGCUAAUUAAUACUUUCUAAGAAACUCGGGAGCUUACUGAGAGUGUCAUGUGAAUUUCAAAAAAACUUUCCCAUAAGCAUGAGAGUGAACUUUUAAGAUUACAACCUUAUUAGAUUAUCAAGUAAAAUACACUGCACAGUAGACAAUUUCAUUUGUUCUUGAAAAUAGUUUACUAGAGUUUGUGCUUCUGUUUAGAUUCCAUUUUUCGAUGUUAGUUCAAGAUAUACUAUGAAUAAAACUCUUUAAUAUGAGUUUUUGAUCAUAGCCUCUGAAAUUUCAAAAGUGGAGACAAUAUUUUUCCAGUCCUGUAAACUCAAAGAUAUAACGCCUUGUUUCCUGCAGUACGAAUAGGAAUCACUUUCAUCAUCCACCUGGCUCACAUUAGUUGGCUCUAGAAUUGGCAGCCUGUCUUGGUCAAGCCUUAUUCUUGCAAAGCCAUCCCUAAUAAUAAAAGACACAUAGAAGAUAUUCUCCACAGUGCGAGAGAAUGAGUUUGGAUCAAUCACAAACUCAAAGUAUGACACUGGAGUAUCGGGGUACUUUUGAAAGUAGGUUUGCAGCAAUCCCAAGAUUCUCUCAACUUCUUUUUCUGUCGUCUCCUGAUUAGCAUGCACAUCCAGCCUCCUCAACUUUGUAGGCAUAUCUCCACUUCCUUCCAUUUUGCAAGCUCUUUUGUGACAUCCAAGCCGGGGCUUUCGUGCAGAACGUUCUGCCUUAAAUGACCCAAAAAUGAAGUGGAACGUUUCGGCUUGCAGCAUCCAGGAGGUUGCUUCCUCGUGCAACAUGCCCCAAAAGGAAAGAACUAUGCUAUCAUCGCAGUCGCUAAAUUCCUUACACUCCUCUUCUACCCAAUUGAAGCCCACAAACAACAGCAGCAAAUCGCAGAAGGCAAUGGGAUUAAAAAAGUUCAUAUCGGUGUUUAGCUGCUUCGCCUUCUCUUUACCCAGAUCAGAGGCCAAAACCAGGAACUGGGCAUCAAGGGCUGCCUCUCUGGUUCUGCUCACUCCGUCAAACAGCACGUUGGCUUCCUCCAGGGCCUCACUCAGCGUGUCGCUGGCCGUGUUCACAAUGUCCUCGCGGUUCUGCUGCACGGUGUAGAUGAGCUGCCGGUACUGCCUGCGGAUUUUGCGGCACUUCUCUCGAUCCACCACCAGCUCCAGGAGGUCUGGGUGCAUGCAGGGGGGCUCGGGGUUCGGGUCAUCGGAGCUACUGUCUGAGCCUUCCUCCUCCUCAUCUUCCCCUUCCUCCUUUUCUUCCUUCUUCACUGCCUCUUCCUCCUCCUGUUUCACCAGGUGCUGCCAUGCCAGACUCCGGACCAGCUCCCCUCUUUUCUCUUUGCCUCCAGUAAGGGAACAUUUUUCUUUAGACAUGGUGGUGGUGCGCAGGUAACAGCUCUCCCAGGGCUACUACCAUACUACCUACCAACCGUAGCGACGCGAGAUGGCAAAGGCUGUCACCCCUCCACCGACG
rnacentral:lncRNA from 1 species